GGGGAUAUAGCUUAAUGGUUAAAGCACCUGUCUAUCAUGAGUGAGGCCCUGGGUUCAAUUCUCAAUAUCACUU
rnacentral:tRNA from 1 species